AGGCUCAAACAAUCAAAUAAUAAUAAACAACUGCUACUACAAAUUAGAGACAGACGUCGGAACGGAUAACUAACGAUACAGAAAGAAAGAAGAAGAAUAUUAAUCAAAACAAGAAUAAUAUUGACCAAACAGAAAUCAAACACAUUUCUUUUGAUCGAAAAGCUUCAAUCCUGAUACACCACUUCCUGAACAAAGACCUCGUUGGACAAUCGUAACAGAUCGAAACAUAUUAAUCACUUGAAUCCUGACUGUUUUUUUGAUUACCCUUUCAACCACUCCUUGACCUACGCCUUGGAUACCUCGAAUUUCCUGCUGUGAUACCCUUCCCUGGACCAUUUGUGUCUACGCCUUGGAUACCUUGAAUUCCCUGCUGUGAUACCCUUCCCUGGACCAUCCUCAUAGCCAUUCUUCCUUGCAAUAUUCCCAGAAAUUGAACCCCUGCCUUCAUCCACUUUCCACCCAGUGACUGUGGUAGGAUCUGGGCAAAUACACCCACACCCACGGACUGUGACAUUAAGGAAUUACAUCCACCACUAUUUUUUUAUUUAAUUAUUCAUUUUGAGUGCACUCUCUUUUAUUUUUGGGGUUUAUGUUUAUUUUGUUAUUUUAAGUUCAGAGAUCUCAAGGGAAUUAUUUAAUGAAAAGUUACCUAAGUGCCGGCACUUCUGAUAAACUGAUAUUAUAGUUAUAUGUUAAGAAUUGUAUUUUUAUUGUAUAAGAAAAAGUGAUUUAACGCCAUAAGUAUAUAAAUCAAAUAAGUAGCAAUAGUAAUAAAUUGAAUAUAGAGUCAAAUAAAAUAGUAUAACAUAUAACGAUUAAAAUAGAUCAAUAAAUAAAGGGUAUAUCAAAUAGGGUUUAAAUAGACUAUAAAUAGAUUUUAAAUAGAAUAUCAAUAAUACAGUCAAAUGAAAUAGUAAAUAUAUAUAUAUUACAAUAGUUUUUUAUAUUUCCACUGCUACCUUAGAAUAGAAUAAUAAAUGA